rnacentral:rRNA from 1 species
GCCUGUGGCCAUACCACCCUGAACGUACCUGAUCUCCUCUGAUCUCAUGAAGCUAAGUCAGGGUUAAGCCUGGUUAGUACUUGGAUGGGAGAAAUGUCUUCCAAGGAAAAACUACAAAAAAUUUUGUUGUGGUAGACG